rnacentral:lncRNA from 1 species
AAGAAGUGAUUAAUUUCCUUCUACUAUUCUUCCAAGGAAUACUAGUGAAACAUUUUAACUUUUAUUUUGUUUUUAUUUCUCUUUUAAGAGGCAUGAGGCAUGACAUGGACCCAGCAAAACCAUCAAAAAUGUCAAUCAUGAUGCUUAUACUACCAUAUGCAAUUGUGACACCAGUGAAGAUAAUGAAAAUGCUCCCAUUAGUACCAAUUUUGUAG